UACGUAGGGUGCAAGCGUUGUCCGGAAUUAUUGGGCGUAAAGAGCUCGUAGGCGGUCUGUCGCGUCUGCUGUGAAAACCUGGGGCUUAACUCUGGGCGUGCAGUGGGUACGGGCAGACUAGAGUGCAGUAGGGGAGACUGGAAUUCCUGGUGUAGCGGUGAAAUGCGCAGAUAUCAGGAGGAACACCGGUGGCGAAGGCGGGUCUCUGGGCUGUAACUGACGCUGAGGAGCGAAAGCAUGGGGAGCGAACAGG
rnacentral:rRNA from 1 species